rnacentral:rRNA from 1 species
GACGAACCGUGCAAACGUUAUUCGGAAUCACUGGGCAUAAAGGGCGCGUAGGCGGCUUCAUAAGUCAGGGGUGAAAUCCGGCAGCUUAACUGUCGCAGUGCCUUUGAUACUGUGAAGCUCGAGGGAGGUAGGGGUCUGUGGAACUUCCGGUGGAGCGGUGAAAUGCGUUGAUAUCGGAAGGAACGCCGGUGGCGAAAGCGACGGACUGGAUCUCUUCUGACGCUGAGGCGCGAAAGCCAGGGGAGCAAACGGG